rnacentral:rRNA from 1 species
GAUGAACGCUGGCGGCGUGCUUAACACAUGCAAGUCGAACGGAAAGGCCCAAGCUUGCUUGGGUCCUCGAGUGGCGAACGGGUGAGUAACACGUGGGUGAUCUGCCCUGCACUUCGGGAUAAGCCUGGGAAACUGGGUCUAAUACCGGAUAGGACGAUGGUUUGGAUGCCAUUGUGGAAAGUUUUUUCGGUGUGGGAUGAGCUCGCGGCCUAUCAGCUUGUUGGUGGGGUAAUGGCCUACCAAGGCGUCGACGGGUAGCCGGCCUGAGAGGGUGUACGGACACAUUGGGACUGAGAUACGGCCCAGACUCCGACGGGAGGCAGCAGUGGGGAAUAUUGCACAAUGGGCGCAAGCCUGAGGCAGCGACGCCGCGUGGGGGAUGACGGCCUUCGGGUUGUAAACUCCUUUCGCUAGGGACGAAGCGUUUUUGUGACGGUACCUGGAGAAGAAGCACCGGCUAACUACGUG